GGAUUAGAUACCCUGGUAGUCCACGCCGUAAACGUUGAAUACUUGCUGUUGGCGAUAUACUGUCAGCGGCUCAGCGAAAGCGUUAAGUAUUCCACCUGGGGAGUACGCCCGCAAGGGUGAAACUCAAAGGAAUUGACGGGGGCCCGCACAAGCGGAGGAGCAUGUGGUUUAAUUCGAUGAUACGCGAGGAACCUUACCUGGGCUUAAAUGUUAGUGAUCGACCGAGAAAUCGGUUUUCCCUUCGGGGCACAAAGCAAGGUGCUGCAUGGCUGUCGUCAGCUCGUGCCG
rnacentral:rRNA from 1 species